UACAGAGGGGGCAAGCGUUGUUCGGAAUUACUGGGCGUAAAGGGCGCGUAGGCGGCCUUCUAAGUCGAACGUGAAAUCCCCGGGCUCAACCCGGGAACUGCGUCCGAUACUGGAAGGCUUGAAUUCGGGAGAGGGAUGCGGAAUUCCAGGUGUAGCGGUGAAAUACGUAGAUAUCUGGAGGAAUACCGGUGGCGAAGGCGGCAUCCUGGACCAUUACUGACGCUGAGGCGCGAAAGCUAGGGGAGCAAACGGG
rnacentral:rRNA from 1 species